ensembl:lncRNA
UGAAGCUUGCUCUGCUACAGGAAAUGAAAGAAUUGCCUAGUGCGUGUGUGUGUGCAUGCAUGGUGCUUCCAUCCACCAGCAGUAUGGGUUACUCUUGCUAUGACAGCAGCAUGCUCAGCCCCCCAGGUCUGCAGCCUCAUCAUCUGCCGUUAGGGGAAUCCCAGGGACAUGGCUUUCAGGAGCCACCUGCUGUGUGCCCAGGAGCAGCAGAGCUUGCGUGGGGCAACAGUGACAUCCAGCGGCCCCGUGUCGGCUCACGGCGUGCAUCGUCCAGCGGCGCGGGGAUCAGCCGGGUCUUCCUCCUCGACCCAGUGGGUGUUUGUCGCUGGUUUCGUAGAGCCAGGACAGCACCCAGUGCCACUCGGACCUCUGUGCCUUGUCGUGGCUGUGACAUAGGGGCGGCUGUGACAAAGGGAGGACAAGAAGUUGUUCAGGAUAAAAUAGAAGUGAAAUUCCAUACAAAUAUUUCCUCCAGUAGAAGGAGAGGUGCGUUGGCAGCUCAGCUGCGUACCAUUACGGUGUGUGACUGUAGUGCUGCUUGUUGUCUGUUUGCUGUGCUCACCCACUGGGAGCUGGAGUGAGGCUGAGCCCUCGGUUUAAGGACCACCCUUCACGCCCCUCAAGCCAAAGCAGAAAGUCACAAAGCUCUGCAGCACCUUGGGAUGAUUUGAAUUAAGUUUGGGUUUGGGGAUUUUUAAGCGGAUAAUCAGCUCGUGCAGAGCCGGCCAUCUGCGUUACCGCUUUCAGAGCAGACCAGGUGUGGAGACAGGAUGGGUUUAAGCAGGUUAUUUCCAGAAUAUACUUCUUUAUUUCAUUUCACGUAAUGUUUCAUGCUACAGCUCCCUCUUUUGCACUCCCACCACAGUCUCUCAUAUCUACCUCAGCUUUCCUUCCCUUUCAUUGCACAAAUAUCCCUCAAGGUGACUCUAAAGCGUGAGCUACUCAAGCCAUAAUGGUCCUGUUCCAAAGUCUAAUCAUGUCAAAUUACUUUCAAGGCAAUUUUUGUGAUCCAUAACUGCAGAGAACUAAGAGACAGUACUACUAAUAAAAUCAGUUCUGAGAUUAGCA